GGCCCUGUGGCGCAGCGGUAGCGCAUCUGACUCCAGAUUAGAAGGUCGUCCGUUUGAAUCGGUCUAGGGUCA
rnacentral:tRNA from 1 species